UGAAACAACGCUGGAGAGACCACUGCUGUACUUCAUCAUCAAAAAAACUUGUGGUCAGUAGCAUUACAAGUUGGGAAAGUUCAGAAGUAUAUUGGGACUACAAAUACAGAAAUAUGGACUUUAAAUUGAACCAGAAGGUCAGUCCUCAGCCGUCCCUUUUCUAAGGAAAAGAGCCAUUACAAGAUUGGAAGGAAUAUUUUGUUGCUGCUGAGAUGAUGACUGAUUUUCUAUGUUGCACUUCCAGCAGGGAUUCCCACCCACAGGGAACGCACAGUGGAAAUUCAGCAGUGUGCUGCACACAAUUUACCAGCUGUUUAUAGUUCUCGUUGCAGAUGUGAUGAAGCUCAGAGCAAAACAACUAUCCAUCACAUAUUAGAAGAUUUUGCAAGAAGCUUCCAAAGUCCUCUUUCAAAUUAUGACAACAUGUUUUCAAAUA